UGCGUAGGCGGCUCUCUAAGUCGGAUGUGAAAACUCUGGGCUCAACCCAGAGCCUGCAUCCGAAACUGGAGGGCUAGGGUUCUGGAGGGGAAAGCGGAAUUCCUGGUGUAGCGGUGAAAUGCGUAGAUAUCAGGAGGAACACCGGUGGCGAAGGCGGCUUUCUGGACAGAUACCGACGCUGAGGCACGAAAGCUGGGAGCAAACA
rnacentral:rRNA from 1 species